rnacentral:rRNA from 1 species
GGGCUAUUACACAAUACAAUAUGAAGGCUGUCCGCAGCUGGAGUAUUUUAUUACCCUUGUCUUUUGCGCACUUGUUGUUUCCUGGGCGGGUUCGCUCGCCACCAGGACCACCAAAUAAACCUUUUUUAUGCAGUUGCAAUCAGCGUCAGUACAAACAAUGUAAAUCAUUUACAACUUUCAACAACGGAUCUCUUGGUUCUGGCAUCGAUGAAGAACGCAGCGAAAUGCGAUACGUAGUGUGAAUUGCAGAAUUCAGUGAAUCAUCGAAUCUUUGAACGCACAUUGCGCCCUUUGGUAUUCCAAAGGGCAUGCCUGUUCGAGCGUCAUUUGUACCCUCAAGCUUUGCUUGGUGUUGGGCGUUUUUGUCUUUGGUCGCCCAAAGACUCGCCUUAAAGUGAUUGGCAGCCGGCCUUUCUGGUUUCGCAGCGCAGCACAUUUUUGCGCUUGCCAUCAGCAAAACGGCAAUCCAUCAAGCCUCCUUCUCACGUUUGACCUCGGAUCAGGUAGGGAUACCCGCUGAACUUAAGCAUAUCAAUAAGCGG